AGUGGACUCUUUAUUGAUACUGACCUCUUG
rnacentral:piRNA from 1 species